rnacentral:lncRNA from 1 species
GGGAUUCCAAUCAGGAUCUUUUCGAUUUACCACUUUUAUAUUUUAUGUGUUUAAGGAUGUUUUGUAAACUGCACUACAAAUUUUCUGUUUUAGUUUUUUUUUUUGGUAAAAUUUUCUUUUUUAGGUUAAAAAAGGGUUUACAUGUAAAAGUAAAGUUCUCUAGACUGAUGGAUUCUUAGUUAAUCAUUUUGACGUGAUGAGACCAUCUAUAAUUAAUCUGAUAUGUAAAAAGAGUGAUAUAUAUAUAUAUAUAUAUAGUUCAUUUUUUUUGGGAGAUAAACACACGAUUUAAUUUAUUGUUGAAAUUGAGAUAGAACAAGCAUAUUUGUUAACAUACAUACUAACGAUAGGAAAGAUAAAUCAAAAGAUUUUAAAAAUUGUCAAAAAGAGAAAUUUGAAAA